rnacentral:rRNA from 1 species
GGUGAACGCUGACAGAAUGCUUAACACAUGCAAGUCAACUUGAAUUUGGGUUUUUAACUUAGGUUUGGGUGGCGGACGGGUGAGUAACGCGUAAAGAACUUGCCUCACAGCUAGGGACAACAUUUGGAAACGAAUGCUAAUACCUAAUAUUAUGAUAAUAGGGCAUCCUAUAAUUAUGAAAGCUAUAAGCGCUGUGAGAGAGCUUUGCGUCCCAUUAGCUAGUUGGAGAGGUAACGGCUCACCAAGGCGAUGAUGGGUAGCCGGCCUGAGAGGGUGAUCGGCCCAAAGGGGACUGAGACACGGCCCUUACUCCUACGGGAGGAAGAAGUGGGGAAUAUUGGACAAUGGACCGAGAGUUUGAUCCAGCAAUUCUGUGUGCACGAUGAAGUUUUUCGGAAUGAAAAGUGCUUUCAGUUGGGAAGAAACAAAUGACGGUACCAACAAAAGAAGGGACGGCUAAAUACGU